CCACGCCCCUCGGACACCUGCCGGGGCUCCCGCGCCUGCGCGCACGCGCUGCCUGAGCCCCUCUGCUGUGAGCCCCCUUCCCCUCCAGUCCCUCCACCCCAGGACGUGGGGUCGUGAGACCAGGUCGCCUGCUGCCUGUUUCCCGGGGGCCCCAGGGGGGAACGUGGGCCUGGGGAUCCCUUUGGGCUGUUCAUUUCCUUGAAAAUAAAAUGGAUGAAACCAACUGGCGCGGGGGGAGUGAUUUGGCCGCGGCUGAGGGUCGGUGCAGGGCUGUUUAGUUGGGAGAUAGAAAUUUAUAAUUACCUUUUGGAUACUGUGGUUCUAUUUGAUGAUAAUAAUAGAGUAAUUUUUAAAAGACGAGCGUUUCCUGUUUGCCGUUUUUGUUUGGUUUUGCAGGGGAGGGGCUAAGAAGAUGGCCCCAGUGACACAUGCCCAGUGUCGUCCCUCCCUCCAAGUGCCCGUUGUCCCUGCAGGUGCUGCUAUCAAACCGGAGGCAGCGACAGCACUGAGCAGCCUGAAGUCCAUACGAGUCCAGAAAAGGUGGAAGCUCUGGCCACGGGCUAACCUCAUGCCCUAGUGUUCACUGGUACCGGGGCGUUCAGGACAGGACAAGACAGGGCCCGCUUGACUAGGAUGGUCAGGGAAGUUGAGUGACUGCCGGGUUUGGAGGGAUCUUGGAAAGAAGAUCCUGUGAAAAAGCUGGGCGCUUCCCUCUGGACCCAACUUUCCCACAGCUGGUGGAAGCGUGGGGUGGCAGAAUAAGGAGACGAGGGAAUUAGGGUUCAGAAGCCCUAGAGCAAACCUUCAGGGUGGCCACAGUUGUAGCACUCUGACAUUUCUCUUUCGAAUACUGCACCCAAGUUACUCUCUUGUGUUGAAUGCACUGCCAGAUGCUGCUGCUCUAGAGCAUUUCCUGUGGCCCUUCUCGCUUUCUCUUACAGAGAGAAUCGCAGGCACACAGCAUUGCCCACACAGCUGUCACUCCACUGCUUUUGGGCUUGGCAGAACCGGUGGGCUCGGAUGAUCUGAAGGGACAAGUGGAGACUAGUGAAUCCCCAGCUCUGCGGGAUGCUAGCACAUCCAGGGCAGCAGCCAGGGCAAGAAGUGGCUGGAGAAAGACAUAGCAGAAAUCACUGCAGCGCUCAAGAACCCCGAGGAGCCAGGUGGACUGCAGGGAUAGGAAGACCCAGAGCAGCACAUUGGCUCAGCUGGGCCAAGCGGAUGGGAGGUUUCCACAGACAGAGACCCUACAGAAUCUUCUGCCCCGGCCUGGAACCCGUGGGGACCCAGGAACUGCUCAACAAGUGGAUGAAUAAG